rnacentral:rRNA from 1 species
CCUACGGGAAGCAGCAGUGGGGAAUAUUGCACAAUGGGGGAAACCCUGAUGCAGCGACGCCGCGUGAGUGAAGAAGUAUUUCGGUAUGUAAAGCUCUAUCAGCAGGGAAGAAAAUGACGGUACCUGAGUAAGAAGCCCCGGCUAACAACGUGCCAGCAGCCGCGGGAAUCCGUAGGGGGCAAGCGUUAUCCGGAGUUACUGGGUGUAAAGGGAGCGUAGACGGCAGCACAAGUCUGGAGUGAAAUGCCGGGGCUUAACCCCGGAACUGCUUUGUAAACUGUGUAGCUAGAGUGCAGGAGAGGUCAGUGGAAUUCCUAGUGUAGCGGUGAACUGCGUAGAUAUUAGGAGGAACACCAGUGGCGACGGCGGCUUACUGGACUGUAACUGACGUUGAGGCUCGAACGCGUGGGGAGCAAACAGGAUUAGCUACCCCGGUAGUC